UACAGAGGGUGCAAGCGUUGCUCGGAUUUACUGGGCGUAAAGCGUACGCAGACGGCCACGCAGGUCGGGUGUGAAAGCCCCGGGCUCAACCCGGGAACCGCAUUCGAAACCAUGUGGCUUGAGUGUGGGAGAGGAAAGUGGAAUUCCUGGUGUAGAGGUGAAAUUCGUAGAUAUCAGGAGGAACACCGGCGGCGAAGGCGGCUUUCUGGUCCACAACUGACGUUCAGGUACGAAAGCGUGGGGAGCAAACAGG
rnacentral:rRNA from 1 species